rnacentral:misc_RNA from 1 species
UUCAAUAUGUCAUUGAACCAUCCAGCUGGAGUUCUAACAGGUCCAUGACCAGCUAUAUCUGUGUUCAUCACAAAGUAUUGAGGUAUAGAUAUACCGAGGAAUAGAGAGACACCGAGCACGUAUAUAUUCCGCAUGGAGUUUUUGUUCGCAAAUUGGAUGAAGGAAAUACCAAUAGCAGCUACUAUACCGUAUAAGAUGCAGUAGAUAGCUGCAAAUAUGGGCAAAGGAAUUUGAGCAAAGAAUGCUCCGAAUUUUCCAAAUAUGGAGAAGAAGAUCAUGAAAGCAGUAGAAAUCUGAACAACUCUUCUACUCCCAACACGAGUUAGUCCCAGAAGGCCGACAUUUUCAACAGAUGCAGUAGUACCAACAAUAGCACCAAAGAACCCGUCAAAGAGCUGUCCUAUACCCUGUAAGCCAAUGCUUCUACUCACAACAUGGGCCGGAGGGGUGGUCGCACCUGCAAGCCUUGAUGCAGCAUAAAAAGUUGCUGUUGACUCUGCUGCUGAUACAAGUGCAGCACCCAUCAUUCCAAAGACAUUGCUAGCUCUGAAUAUAGGAGUCCCCCACAGGAAAGGGUAAGGAACUUUGAUCCAUGGAGCCGAUGACAAGAGGAACGAAUGGUCAAUUCGGCAGUUCAUCUUAGUUUGCUCCUUCACAUGGUUGUAAGCACCGGCAACAGUAAGAAUAGCAGCAAAAGCCCAGAUAAACCCAAUGCAGAGGAGCAAAGCAAACCUUUCAAGUAUGGAUUGGGCAACUGGAUGAACACGUUGCAUAUACUGCUGAGAAAUGACAAGUAGAAUUAACAUGGGAAGGCCAAUCUCUAUACAAUCACCCACCUGAGGAAAACCCCUACCAAACAAACCAAGACCUACAACACAGACAAGUGGCGUAAUGACUACAGGACUGAAAAACCUUGUAAGAUUUCCCCACGCUUGGCCAUAUCCAAGUAUUAUGUUGAUAAAGGAAGACACUAUCAGUGACCCUUGAAUAGCUCUCAUAGUGUGCUUGAAUCUCUCAUGCUCACUCCUGAAAUUACUGUCCGAGAGAUCGUUAAUGACUGACAGAGCUGAUAUGAUGUAAGCAAAUGACGGACCCAUCACAGUGGGAAGUCUUGUGCCAAAAAGCGUUUGCAGAAGAGUAUUCACUCCUGAAGUGAAAAGCAAAGACUGGAUAACUUGAGCUUUGUCACCCGGACCCCCACCCAUCUGAGGUACCAGCACGGUGGCAAUCAUUACUGUUGUUCCAAGCAUAACUAUGUAGUGUUGAAAAGCCAACAAAACAGUUUGUGGCCAAGAAGGAUUUGAGUGUAUGCAGUAGUGAAGCUGAAGUAGUUGCUCUGCCGGAGGAAACAUAGGUCCUCUUGCUGAACCAAGUGGCAUUGCUGGUGGCGCCGCCGCCUGUUGCGGCGGUGGCUGGUGGUUGUGUUCAUGAUUAUGUGUCUCCCCCAUAAUUUUCUCUCAAAAAAAAAAAUCUACAAAAUAGGUCUAAAGGUUGAAUCUUUAAACUUAGUUUUCAAGAAUCAGCACCGACAUGAAACCUGAGCUUAAAAAUUGAGUCUUUUUCCCCUUUUCUUGAAAUGACUAGCAUUAAUUACAAUAGUAAGUAAAUGGAAUUUAAAUACUCAAGAUCAGAUUUUGAGAUUAAUAAGUACUGAAACAUGCAAAUUAUAGACACCCUAUUUUUUU